GACGAACGCUGGCGGCGCGCCUAACACAUGCAAGUCGAACGAGCGAGAGAGAGCUUGCUUUUUCAAGCGAGUGGCGAACGGGUGAGUAACGCGUGAGGAACCUGCCUCAAAGAGGGGGACAACAGUUGGAAACGACUGCUAAUUCCGCAUAAGCCCACAGGUUGGCAUUGACCAGAGGGAAAAGGAGCAAUUCGCUUUGAGAUGGCCUCGCGUCCGAUUAGCUAGUUGGUGAGGUAAUGGCCCACCAAGGCGACGAUCGGUAGCCGGACUGAGAGGUUGAACGGCCACCUUGGGACUGAGACACGGCCCCGACUCCUACGGGAGGCAGCAGUGGGGAAUUUUUCGCAAUGGACGAAAGUUUGACGGAGCAACGCCGCGUGAGUGAUGAAGGAUUUCGGUUUGUAAAGCUUUGUUGUUUAUGACGAAUGUGCAGUGUGUGAACAAUGCAUUGCAAUGACGGUAGUAAACGAGGAAGCCCCGGCUAACUACGUG
rnacentral:rRNA from 1 species